GAUGAACGCUAGCGGCAGGCCUAACACAUGCAAGUCGAACGGUGUAGCAAUACACAGUGGCGCACGGGUGCGUAACACGUAUGCAACCUACCUAUUAUUGGGGGAUAGCCUUUGGAAACGGAGAUUAAUACCGCAUAAGACAGUGACAUGGCAUCAUGUAGCUGUUAAAGCUUUGGCGAUAAUAGAUGGGCAUGCGUCCAAUUAGUUAGUUGGUGAGGUAAUGGCUCACCAAGACGAUGAUUGGGAGGGGAUCUGAGAGGAUAAUCCCCCACACUGGCACUGAGAUACGGGCCAGACUCCUACGGGAGGCAGCAGUAGGGAAUAUUGGGCAAUGGACGGAAGUCUGACCCAGCCAUGCCGCGUGCAGGAUGACGGCGUUAUGCGUUGUAAACUGCUUUUUUAUAGGAAGAAGAAGCCCUUGCGAGGGAAAGUGACGGUACUAUAAGAAUAAGCACCGGCUAACUCCGUGCCAGCCGCCGCAGUAAAAC
rnacentral:rRNA from 1 species